rnacentral:rRNA from 1 species
GGAUGUGAUGGGGAGCGAAAUUUAGUAGCGAAGUAGCUGAUUUCACACUGUCAAGAAAAGUCUCUAUCGAGGUUAAAGGUACCCGUACCGCAAACCGACACAGGUGGGUGAGGAGAGUAUCCUAAGGCCAGCGAGAGAACUGUUGUUAAGGAACUCGGCAAAAUGACCCCGUAACUUAGGGAUAAGGGGUGCCACCAUCAGGUGGCCGCAGAGAAUAGGCCCAAGCGACUGUUUACCAAAAACAUAGGUUUCUGCUAAGUCGCAAGACGAUGUAUAGGAGCUGACGCCUGCCCGGUGCUGGAA